CCUACGGGAGGCAGCAGUGGGGAAUUUUGGACAAUGGGCGCAAGCCUGAUCCAGCCAUGCCGCGUGAGUGAAGAAGGCCUUCGGGUUGUAAAGCUCUUUCGGCCGGGAAGAAAUCGUGGUCUCUAACAUAGGCCAUGGAUGACGGUACCGGACUAAGAAGCACCGGCUAACUACGUGCCAGCAGCCGCGGUAAUACGUAGGGUGCGAGCGUUAAUCGGAAUUACUGGGCGUAAAGCGUGCGCAGGCGGUUUUGUAAGACAGAUGUGAAAUCCCCGGGCUUAACCUGGGAACUGCGUUUGUGACUGCAAGGCUAGAGUACGGCAGAGGGGGGUGGAAUUCCUGGUGUAGCAGUGAAAUGCGUAGAGAUCAGGAGGAACACCGAUGGCGAAGGCAGCCCCCUGGGCCUGUACUGACGCUCAUGCACGAAAGCGUGGGGAGCAAACAGGAUUAGAUACCCUGGUAGUCCACGCCCUAAACGAUGCUCACUAGGUGUUGGGGAAGCGAUUCCUUGGUACCGUAGCUAACGCGUGAAGUGAGCCGCCUGGGGAGUACGGCCGCAAGGUUAAAACUCAAAUGAAUUGACGGA
rnacentral:rRNA from 1 species